rnacentral:rRNA from 1 species
CCUACGGGGGGCAGCAGUGGGGAAUAUUGCACAAUGGGGGAAACCCUGAUGCAGCGACGCCGCGUGAGUGAAGAAGUAUUUCGGUACGUAAAGCUCUAUCAGCAGGGAAGAAAAUGACGGUACCUGACUAAGAAGCCCCGGCUAACUACGUGCCAGCAGCCGCGGUAAUAGGUAGGGGGCAAGCGUUAUCCGGAUUUACUGGGUGUAAAGGGAGCGUAGACGGCAGCGCAAGUCUGGAGUGAAAUCCCAUGGCUUAACCAUAGAACUGCUUUGGAAACUGUGCAGCUAGAGUGCAGGAGAGGUAAGCGGAAUUCCUAGUGUAGCGGUGAAAUGCGUAGAUAUUAGGAGGAACACCAGUGGCGAAGGCGGCUUACUGGACUGUAACUGACGUUGAGGCUCGAAAGCGUGGGGAGCAAACAGGAUUAGAUACCCGAGUAGUC